AUGGACCUUCCUGUCCCCAAUUCAGCAUCACCUAGCUCUCUCCUAAUGUGGGUUAAUUUUCCAUCAGCUCCUAGAAAGAGUGUAUUUCCAGACUCUCUGGGGACAGACAGAGGAGUUUCAAACAGGAUAAAGCAAGCUUCGAUGGAGAAUAUUUGGAGCCUGUCAUGGCAUCAGGCUGCUCCGACCACAUUUCUGCCAGAGGGGGGGAAAUGUGUUUGCUUGGAACAGGGUCACUGUGAAAAUCAAAUGAGAUUGCACAGGGAAAAAUCUCUUCAGACUGGAGCUCCAUGCAAUGGUCAUCAUCUGUUGAUGUUGCUCUCUGACAGAUUCUCACUCUGUUGCCAGGCUGGAGUGCAAUGGCGCGAUCUCAGCUCACUGUACCCUCUGCCUCCCAGGUUCAAGCGAUUCUCCUGCCUCAGCCUCCCACGUAGCUGUGACGACAGGCCCAGGAAGGAGGCCGGAGUAGUAUGGAUGGCAUCUGAGCUGGCAGGACGGGUGAGCAGGCGGGCAGGGCUGCAGACUUUGCUCCUUUCGAGAGAGAUCCGUAGGCAGCUCCCUGGCUCCACGCCUGCUGGAGCCUUUGUGCUGGCAUUUGGCCCAUUCAGGAAGUCUAGGCUGGGAGUGGCCUUGGAAGACAGCAUUGCCUCAAACGGACUCACGCCAGCCAGCACUGACUAG
rnacentral:lncRNA from 1 species